rfam:Pan troglodytes isolate Yerkes chimp pedigree #C0471 (Clint) chromosome 9, whole genome shotgun sequence.
UUUUUAGUAUAAACAUGUUCCAUGCAAUAUUUGGGACAAACUUAUACUAAAA